UCCAAGCUGGUAGAGCUGAGUUUGCUGAACUGUCCUGGCUCAGCUGCUACACAGGACAGUUGAAUUCGCUGAACCCAACCUGGCCCGCUGGAGCUCACAUUGUGGAAUCCAAACUGGCAGUCACAGAUUGGAGUGGGGCUUGGUGGUGUUGACAUCACUGCACUGGAGCAGCCAGGCUGAAGAAUCGUCCCUGCACCUACUUGACCCCUCUGGAGGCUGAUCAGGUCCACCAAAGAAAACAGAUGGAAAGUCAAGUGGAGUUACAGCAGGUUGAAAGUACCUACUACUGAAUGUCUGUGAACUCUGCUGAAAUGAUGCCAUUUGAAACCAAUUAACCACCUCGUCUAUACAUCUCUCCCCAAAGCCUUGAAACAGAAAAUAUCAGUCUCUGUUGCCUUUCCUCUGUGUGCUUGUGUGUGUAGAAGGGCAGGGGGAAAGGAAGGAGACAGAUCUAAAGCCCUUGAGAAAUUAACUGUGGAUUCCAAAAUACCGCAGGAUGCACACUCAAAAAAGAUUGACUUUAGAAAAACGGAGCUAUGAAGUGAAGACUGAAAAGGGCAGAAAUGAAGAGAAUGAGAACGAACCAGCAUGUGGCCGACAGCGGAUAUGAAAUUGCUGUUGAAUAUUCUUCAGACUUUUUUUUUUUUUAAAUUUCAGUUCAAUUUAUGAACCAGCAA